UCGCCUGCAGAAGGGCACUGGCGUGCAGUCCAGCGUCGGUGCUAUUGGAUACCCCAGAGCCAGGCCAACAGGGAACGGGUCUGAGGCCACUGGCAUGGCUGGCAUCUUGGUCUAAUAAUAAUCAGGUGAACUGCUUAAUAGUUCUCAUCUUACCAAACGCCAGCUCCUCCCUCCUUAUAGGAUGAUUCCUCUGAUCUACCCAAUAACUUCACUCCUUAGAGUGGCCCCUCUUUCUCUGCUGCCUUGAUACCUCUCUCUCUCUCUCCUGAAUCAUUCC
rnacentral:lncRNA from 1 species